AUCGAUUAUGAGACCUUAAUUACUUCGCGUUUCUGUUUAUAAUACAAACUACAAACCAAGAAAAAUAGAGAUGGUAACAACUCUGAAAUAAUCAACUUUGAAUCAUAUGGUUAAGUCAUCCAAAUAUUCAUUACUGCGUAAAAUACUUACCCAACGAGAUAAGGACAGUGGAGAUGAAAACUCCAAUCACCCCAAAAGACAUGAAUAACAUGAUGGUUAAAAAAGUUGUGAAAACUUACAGAACUCUAGUUUCUAUAGCCUGCAAAUUAACAACAAUUUGUAACAUGAGAAAGACAUUUGUACCAUGAAAAAUAGAUUGGUGAAGGAAACACGCCGAUUUGGUGAAGGAAAAUGUCCGAUGGGGUGAAGAAAAGUCAUGCAUUUUCUUAACAUUAAUCGGCCAUUAGAUGUACCAAACUCACCGAUCGUACCCCACGUCAGUGGAGAUAAUGAUCACGCCAAAUCGAGGAUUCAGAGGUCAAAAGUUUGUCAUUGUUUGCUUCCGAUGUCACGCCAAAUAAAAUAAAUCGUUGCAGGGUCGCCGAGCUUAUAUAAUACAAGGUCGGGGCAGGCAGAAAUCAUGCACAUUAGUAGAUUAGCUAGAUUAUAAUUUUCUUAUUUAACCAAACAAUCUAGAAGAGUUUCGCUCUCUAGUCUGCUGUCUUACAAGUUAUAACAUAGGUAAGACAAAAAGUUGGUUUAAAAUGUAAGGGUUUCAUAUUUUAACUGGGGAGGAUUUUUGUUAAACGUCUAUAGUUAUUUGCCAAACUUUACAGUGUUUAUGCUUAAGCUAAAUGGAAAACUAAUUUGGCAUAUCUAAAUUACUUUGGUCUCUACUUUAUUUAUGAUAAAACUAAAGCAUUUUUGGGACUUUGUGAAACCUCGAUAUUUAAAUGGCAUUUUCCCUUUUCUAAACAUAUAUUUGAAGUAUGACACAAUUUUAU
rnacentral:sRNA from 1 species